GUAUGAAAAUGGAUUGGAUCCAGUUCCACUAAAAACCGAGUCGCAGUCGAAUCUUUCUAGAAUUAAAUUUUAGAAGAUAGGUGGCUCUGUUCAUAAGAAGGCUUUUACUAUGGAUUUCACAAUAAUUCUGGUAUCCUAGCAAUAUCUCAAUAGUAGGCAUCCUAGCAAUAUCUCAAUAGUAGGCUGUGCUAAAUGUAAUAUUCAUGAGGUUAAGAAGACAUAUUUCCAGGUCAGUAACUGAAGCCAAGAGAGUGACACCAGCAAUUUACUUUUUCAAGCAAGAAGAGACAGUAAGCUGGAAAACCAAUCUUCUGUGGCAACACAAAUGGUGCAGAAAUCAAGUGAAUUGAGAAUGUAUCCAGCUUCCUUAAGGAUGCAGACAUUUUUUUGCACAUUUUCUGUCUUUAUAUUCUUUGACAUCUGUUGCUUACAAUUAAUGUAGAUUUUUGUGAAGGACCGUAAAUAAAUGCAUCAGUUGUCUAUGAAAA